UACGUAGGGCGCAAGCGUUGUCCGGAAUUAUUGGGCGUAAAGAGCUCGUAGGCGGUUUGUCGCGUCUGCCGUGAAAGUCCGGGGCUCAACUCCGGAUCUGCGGUGGGUACGGGCAGACUAGAGUGAUGUAGGGGAGACUGGAAUUCCUGGUGUAGCAGUGAAAUGCGCAGAUAUCAGGAGGAACACCGAUGGCGAAGGCAGGUCUCUGGGCAUUAACUGACGCUGAGGAGCGAAAGCAUGGGGAGCGAACAGG
rnacentral:rRNA from 1 species